rnacentral:rRNA from 1 species
AUUGAACGCUGGCGGCAUGCCUUACACAUGCAAGUCGAACGGCAGCACGGGAGCAAUCCUGGUGGCGAGUGGCGAACGGGUGAGUAAUAUAUCGGAACGUGCCCAGUCGUGGGGGAUAACGCAGCGAAAGCUGUGCUAAUACCGCAUACGAUCUACGGAUGAAAGCGGGGGAUCGCAAGACCUCGCGCGAUUGGAGCGGCUGAUAUCAGAUUAGGUAGUUGGUGAGGUAAAGGCUCACCAAGCCGACGAUCUGUAGCUGGUCUGAGAGGACGACCAGCCACACUGGAACUGAGACACGGUCCAGACUCCUACGGGAGGCAGCAGUGGGGAAUUUUGGACAAUGGGCGCAAGCCUGAUCCAGCAAUGCCGCGUGCAGGAUGAAGGCCUUCGGGUUGUAAACUGCUUUUGUACGGAACGAAAAGGCUCUGGUUAAUACCUGGGGCACAUGACGGUACCGUAAGAAUAAGCACCGGCUAACUACGUGCCAGCAGCCGCAGUAAGAC